rnacentral:tRNA from 1 species
GGUGGGGUGGCUGAGUGGUCGAAAGCGCCACACUCGAAAUGUGGUGUACCCGAAAGGGUACCGUGAGUUCGAAUCUCACCCCCACCG